CGCGGCGCGGGCCGGGGCGGCCGAGGAAGCGGAAACACUCCAGUGCCCUGGGCAGGGCCGAGAGCCGUAAGGUCAAGGCAGUGAAGACCAGCCUGUCCCUGCUGUGUGCGGAGCUGAGGGGGGACCCUGAGCCCCAGAAGAAGAGGAGCAAAUUGACUGGAGGCACCUUCAGCAGCCUCCAGGGCUCCCCGCUGAAGCAGAAGGUGAAGGGCAAGGGGCUGCCCCCCCGGGCUCAGCCCCUUCCGCCGGAGGGACCCCAACCCCGCUGCCCGCAUCCAGAAGAAGCUGAACCGGCCCAAGGGCUCCAAGGGCUCCAAAUACCAGGGGCAGGACCCCGGUCCCCGGCAGCCCCUCCACUUCAGAGAUGAGCCUGAGGGUGACACGGACAGCGACGAGGGGGAUGAGGAGCCAGGGCUGUCACUGCCCACAGGGCCAGUGGCUGUGCUGGGGCCUU
rnacentral:lncRNA from 1 species